GCGCGAAAGCUUUACAAUGCUGGCAACAGCGAUAAGGGAACCUCGAGUGCCAGGUUACAAAUCUGGCUGUCGAGAUGCCUAAAAAGCAUUUCAUAGCAAGGGCCGGGCAAGACCGGUGCCAGCCGCCGCGGUAACACCGGCGGCUCGAGUGGUAACCGUUAUUAUUGGGUCUAAAGGGUCUGUAGCCGGCCGGAUAAGUCUCCUGAGAAAUCUGGCAGCUUAACUGUCAGGCUUUCAGGAGAUACUGUCUGGCUCGAGGCCGGGAGAGGUGAGAGGUACUUCAGGGGUAGGGGUGAAAUCUUGUAAUCCUUGAAGGACCACCAGUAGCGAAGGCGUCUCACCAGAACGGACCUGACGGCAAGGGACGAAAGCUAGGGGCACGAACCG
rnacentral:rRNA from 1 species